rnacentral:rRNA from 1 species
AUUGAACGCUGGCGGAAUGCUUUACACAUGCAAGUCGAACGGCAGCACGGACUUCGGUCUGGUGGCGAGUGGCGAACGGGUGAGUAACAUAUCGGAACGUAUCCAAUAAUGGGGGAUAACUAAUCGAAAGGUUGGCUAAUACCGCAUACGCCCUACGGGGGAAAGCUAGGGACCUUCGGGCCUGGCGUUAAUGGAGCGGCCGAUAUCUGAUUAGCUAGUUGGUGGGGUAAAGGCCCACCAAGGCGACGAUCAGUAGCUGGUCUGAGAGGACGACCAGCCACACUGGAACUGAGACACGGGCCAGACUCCUACGGGAGGCAGCAGUGGGGAAUUGUGGACAAUGGGCGCAAGCCUGAUCCAGCCAUUCCGCGUGAGUGAAGAAGGCCUUCGGGUUGUAAAGCUCUUUCGCAAGGGAAGAAAACUUACUUACUAAUACUAGGUGAGGCUGACGGUACCUUGAUAAGAAGCACCGGCUAACUACGUGCCAGCAGCCGCAGUAAUAC